AUCAACUGUGGGCAGUGUUUUUGCGUGUCAGGACUAGAUCAAUGGUUUGUUUGCAUUCCCUGGGCCUUGUUCAUCGUUUCACUGCCCCAGAAAACAGUUUUGUAUACACAGCGGCAGAAUAAUGGAAGAUAAAUGUGGCAUGAAAAGGAUCGGUUAUCCCAGAGAUCGCUGUGUGGUUAAGCAGCACAGGAAGGAUUUUGUGUAUAGAUCAAAGGUGAAGGGUCACGGGAGCGGGAAGGAGGCAAGAGCGAGCCAAGGUAACGGGAGUCAGUGUAUUAGCUUGGUCAACUUACGCGAUAACGAACAAAGCCUCCCUGGUUCCCUUGCCGUCGUUUUGCGGCGUGCAGACCAAAACCACCGAGACCUGACGACGACGGACAUUACGGGCAUUACUGGGCAUGAUCCGGGCGCUACCGGGCAUGACCAGACGUUACCGGGCGUAACCGGGCAUGGACCGGGCGUUACCAGGCACGGACCGGGUUUUACCGGGCACGCACUCAGUGGCCCAGGUCUGAUGAAAAAGCUUCUUCUGCUGCUAGGAUUCACACAGUAUCGGCUUCCUGUGUUGUCCAGGCCAUCAGAGCUAAUUGCCCAGCAUAAGAUGGGCAGUACCGUGGCUACCAGGAGACAGUAGAUGCUCAAGAUGAGCUGUGACUAUUUUUACCCUAGCAAACGCACCCUACCCAUUUGUAAAUAGUUCAUAUUUUUCAUGAAUAAAACUUCA
ensembl:lncRNA